UUUUUUUGUUUUAAAUUUCAUUACAUACUUUGACUAAUGUUUAAAAUGAAGCCGCAAAGGUUCAAGUCUCAAAAGCCGAAGCCUAAUCAACCAUUACCUUCGCCAUCAAGUGCACAGUGUUAGAAGUGGAGGUCAGGCUCUACAAGUAGACGCCCUAUAAUUCACUAAUGAUCCUUCCGCAGGUUCACCUACGGAAA
rnacentral:misc_RNA from 1 species